ensembl:lncRNA
UCCUUGUAAGUUGCUUUGGAUAAAAGCGUCUCCUAAUUGUAAAUGGAGUGUUGUGUCUUAACUGAUAAAUACUGAUGCAAAGAAAAGGACUGAAAUGCUGAAAUUUCAUAAAUAUUUAUUCCAUAUCAAUCAACAAAAAAUGAACUACUUUCACAGCAGUGGUCAACAGCACUUAAUAAAAUAAAACGUUCAAAUAAUAAUCAGAAUAAUUGUUUAGUUUUGUUUGAGGCCACAUUUUGAAACACAAAACAUUUACAAGUAGUACUGUAAGUACUUGGCAUUAAAAACAAUGGCGAUACAAUAUUUUAAGACACUUGGUGUUUUUUGAAGUGUUUUUUUUUCUUUUCUCUUUCGUUUUGAUAAGACCGAGGCUCCGUGACAGUCUAAACAGCACUUACUGACUCACACACGACACCACUGCUAAGAGGACCUCAGAGAAGACAGGGGUGGGUGCAAACAGAACAGGCUGAACAGUCAAACAAAAGAGAGAAAGACAACAGAAGAUAGAAAAAAAAAAAAAAAAAAAAAAGACAAUUUAUAUUUUUUUAUAAUUUGCUUAAUUAACUCUGUGACCAAGAGUCUUCUUCUGCUCAUGCCAGUCACUGCGGGGAUAGAGCUCAUAAAUAACAAGUACAGUUCAUCUGCAAAAAUAUUCCCAUAUUUUUUUUACCUUUUUAAAUCCCGUCCCUUUUUUUCGGACUGCUACUAGUGUUCAAAGAUUUUGUACAAAGAGAGGUGGAAUUGUGAAUGAAUGAUGAACAGAGAGAGAGGAGGAGUGUGAGAAAGGGAGGGAGAAAAAGACACAGACAGAAAGGGGUAGGAGGAGUGGACUAGACAGGUCAAAGAAUAGUUCUGUCUUCUGUCCACAAGAUGGCGCUUCUGUGCCAAACGCCACAGAAAAGAGGACACCUCUAUCCUGUACACACUGCCUUGCAGAUCCAAAGCAAGCAUGCUAACCCUUUAGCUGACAAUACCAAGAGACCCAAACAGCCCUGUAGGCGGUGUGUUCAGUCUAGACAGCUAGCUCUAAACGUGUUUUUGUUUACGGAUAUAAAAGUAUGGCUAAGGCUGAGCAGACGGCCACGUCUGCGUCUCCGUGACGACCUGGCACACUGUCUCCACAAGGCCUGAGGUCCCCACUUUAUCUCCGGUGUCCUUGUCAUGGUCUACUUCAGUGGUUCUCAAACUUUUUGUCCGGGGACCCCAUAAAAUCCAUUUGCCAAGUCUCGCGACCCCCAACACAUUUUGACAGGAUAUUAUAGGUCUAAAUUCAGUUUCAUCUUGAAUGAUGAGACUGCUUGCUGAGAAAAUAUUAGUUUUCAUUAUCCAUCCUGAUGUAGAAAACACCAUUUCUGAUAGACUAUACAGCAUGUCAAAGCCUAAUAUGUUGACGCACAGGGCAGCAAGAUCAUUUCGCGACCCCCAAAAAACGUUUGGCGACCCCACUUGGGAUCCCGACCCCUAGUUUGAGAACCACUGGUCUACUUAACUACGUGAUCAGUAAUCGCAUGUACUUCCCAUGAUAACCAUACUACUAACUACCAUACAUCCCACUAAGCAUCACACUACACUAAAAACCCAAGUUACUCUUGUGAUAGCUGAUGUGCUAACAUGAGAAGUACACUGCACUUAUCAUUCAAUAAUGUAUUAAGUACACAGUACUGAAGGACAAUUCAGCCAAAGUGAGACCAGCCUGUCUCCCUGAGAGGGCUGACCAGACAUCAUCCGCUAGUGUGGAGGUCAAAGGUGAAGGAGGUCAAAGGUGAAGGAGUUCAAAGGUCAAGGAGUUCAAAGGUCAAGGAGUUCGCUAAAGUCUCUCAGCUGAGAGAGGGUUCUAAGUCUAGCGCUAAAUAUCCAGCUCACCAUCUAAUGACUGCACCAAUGUGCAGAGGCAUGCAGGUGUUCGUGUUUGUGAAGCCCUUGGCAGGUGUUUGUUGUGAAGCCUAUGUCAGGUGUUUGUGAAGCCUAUGUCAGGUGUUUGUGAAGUGUUUUUUAAGCCUAUGUCAGGUGUUUGUAAAGUGUUUGUUAAGCUUAUGUCAAGUGUUUGUUAAGCAUAUGUCAGGUGUUUGUGAAGCCUAUGACAGGUGUUUGUGAAGUGUUUGUUAAGCUUAUGUCAGGUGUUUGUGAAGCCUAUGUCAGGUGUUUGUGAAGUGUUUGUGAAGCCUAUGUCAGGUGUUUGUGAAGCCUAUGUCAAGUGUUUGUUAAGCUUAUGUCAGGUGUUUGUGAAGCCUAUGUCAGGUGUUUGUGAAGCUUAUGUCAGGUGUUUGUGAAGCUUAUGUCAGGUGAUUGUAAAGCCUAUGUCUUGACUUGUAGAGGGGCAACGCGUGAGAGUUUCGGGUCACGUUUCAUGUAGAGGUUUGUAGAGGAGCUUGUGUCAUUACACUGACCUGGACAUUGAUUUUUUUUGCUGUUGAUAAAUCCUUUUCUGAAUUAGAAUCAUGAUUUACUGACUGGUAGAAAAUGGGAGUCGGGGUCAACUAGAGGCUGUAAGAAAGUGGCACUUGAGAGACUCACUGGCCCGGACUUCCUGAUACCACACACACCGAUAUAUAGACGCAACACUACAGAAGGUGAUGGAGAGAUGGAGAGAACAAGAAGGAGUGAGAGAGAGAGAGAAAGAGAGAGAGAAAGAGAGAGAGAGAGAGAGAGAGACAGAGAGAGGAUAGUGUCCAAAACAGUGAG